ensembl:lincRNA
AUAGUAAUACGCAGAGAGAGAGGAAAGUUAUUACGUGAGCUACAUGCAGAUGAACCCUGGAAACGCAGCAAUGAUGGGAUGUAGUAAAACAGUAUUCAGGUAGGAAAGGAAUGAUAGUCUGAUACAAGCUGCAUGCAGACAAGCCCUGAAAACAUGGGUUGAAUAAGCGAGGAUUCUAAAGGUUACCUGAUUCCGCUUACAUCUGACACAGACUAGAUAGAUCCAUAUGAACAGCAGCAGGUGGGAAGGUCUGCACUUCUUUGGGAACUGGCCAGGUGUCACUUCUCUGUGUCACCUACACUUCUCUGGGUGAUGGCCCUUCGAAACCAGAGAGGUCACUGGCCUCAUUCACAGAAGAAAGUGAAGAGCACCCAUUGGGUGUAGAUUCUCAUGAUGUGGCUGGAGAAGAGACAACCUGGACACAGUCAUCGUGGUGGUGAUUGUCCGUCACCUUCCCAAGUCCACCAGACAGACGGUGUGAGGUUUGUGAAGAGAUGAAUGAUCAGAGACAGGACAGCUCCCUGGAGGUGCUCAUGUACCCUGCAACUGCCAUCUCCUAAUGGUUAAAAUGAAAAGAUAGAAAUCAACCAACUGCGUGGCAUGUAUUGGCAGUUUAUGGACAUGGUACAAGCAACAGACCACGUAAGAAGCUGUGGAAUCCCAGACUAACUCCUGCGACGGCCACAUCCGGCUCCUGUGGGAGUCACUCUCGGUGGCAUUUCUGACCCAGGAAGACUUUUCUGCCUCACUCUGAGGUCAGAGUGGGGGCUCAACUUUUGGUCCCAGUGAUAAUCAGUUUGGUUUUUGUUUUUUUUCUUUAAUAAACAUGAUCCAGGCACUGAAACACACACACAGACCUAGAAAUGCAGUAUUUACUACGGUGGUGGUUCUGGGCCGUGUUCAAAGGAUACUUGGCAGGUGUGCGUAGCAAAGGGACCCUAAAUGUCACAUAAACCAGGAGGCAGGGCACAUUGCACAAUGUACCUUCUCUAUUGCCUGGCUGUCAUAAAGUGACUCCUUCCGGGAUGGAUGUGUGCCGUCUCUUUCAUCUGUUAUUUGACUAAAUGAUGAAAGUGGCAAUUAAGUUUUCAUAGGCUGUGUUUACAUAACUUCUUUUUUGAAAAAAACACAGUGCCAAUGUAUACAACCAACGGUCGGUGUAUUUACAUACUCCGGGGUGGAGUUACAGCUGCUUGGUGAUAAACAUAAGGAAACUCGCUGUGCUGGUUUUUCUUUUUUCUUUUCUUUUUUUUUUUCAACCUCAAAUGAAGUUUCCCAUUAAUCAAGAAUUUUAUUGGUUGGUUCAUUCUUGUUAUUAUCCAAAUCAGAAAUGAAACGUGUCGGGCCAAAACUCUCUUUAUUGCCAGUAGAAACGCUCAGACACAGGGUUGUUACCUCUGGGGAUGAGCUUGAAAGUUUACAAGGAAACCAAACAAGUGUGGCUGAGGUCCUAGGAAUGUUGACUCCACGUCAUGCUGUUUCUGGGAAAGGGUGCGCUGAUCAGGUAUCGCCAAUCAUCUUCAUUACAAAUAAAAGGGCCUUCUUUAAAAAUCCC